ensembl:lncRNA
CCUGGCAGACGUAUUUGAUGAACUCCAGGGCGGGGUUGUUGAGGGGCAGGUGGGAGCCCGGCAGGGUGGGGAACAUCUCCGAGGGCUGGGUGACGCUGCGCGUGGCCGCCAGCUUCCUCUGGAUCUUCUGGGUGAUGGUGAAGAAGCUCUGGGUCAGCUCGUUGGCCACGUACUCCUGGGAGAAGGAGAUCAUACCUGGGGGAGCAGAGGCUCCUCCUUCAUGCUUUGGUAGACCGCCGCGAUGUACGCUGGGAGGAGACACAAACCAGUAAGGGCUUUAGAAACAGACCACUGGGAGGAGACACAAACCAGUAAGGGCUUUAGAAACAGGACCACUGGGAGGAGACACAAACCAGUAAGGGCUUUAGAACACAGGACCACUGGGAGGAGACACAAACCAGUAAGGGCUUUAGAACACAGGACCACUGGGAGGAGACACAAACCAGUAAGGGCUUUAGAAAAAGACCACUGGGAGGAGACACAAACCAGUAAGGGCUUUAGAACACAGGACCACUGGGAGGAGACACAAACCAGUAAGGGCUUUAGAACACAGGACCACUGGGAGGAGACACAAACCAGUAAGGGCUGUAGAAACAGACCACUGGGAGGAGACACAAACCAGUAAGGGCUUUAGAACACAGGACCACUGGGAGGAGACACAAACCAGUAAGGGCUUUAGAAACACAGGACCACUGGGAGGAGUUAUAAACCAGUAAGAGCUUUAGAAACAGACCACUGGGAGGAGGUUAUAAACCAGUAAGAGCUUUAGAAACAGACCACUGGGAGGAGGUUAUAAACCAGUAAGAGUUUUAGAAUCAACAUCAUUAGUUCUUAUCAUUAGUGAUCAACGAUGGUUAUUGUCGAUGGUAUUUACCAGAGACGAUCAUGACGAAGUACUUCUGGCAGGAGGCCGUCUGGGGCAGGUACUGCAUGAUGUUCCAGUUGCUCUCAAUCAGGUCCUCCACCUCGUCCACCUCCCCGUCCAGGUCCUCUUCCUCCCCGCCUGCCUCCUCCUCUUCCUCAUCCUCACUGCCGUCCUCCUCUGCGUCCUCACCGCUCUUCCUCUUCUUCUUCUUCAGGAGAG